rnacentral:tRNA from 1 species
GGGAAGGUGGCUCAGUGGUAGAGUGCUUGCCUCGCAUGCAUGAGGCCUUAGGUUCAAUUCCUCAGCAUCAUA